CCUACGGGAGGCAGCAGUGAGGAAUAUUGGUCAAUGGACGAGAGUCUGAACCAGCCAAGUAGCGUGAAGGAUGACUGCCCUAUGGGUUGUAAACUUCUUUUAUAUGGGAAUAAAAUGUUCCACGUGUGGGAUUUUGUAUGUAACAUAUGAAUAAGGAUCGGCUAACUCCGUGCCAGCAGCCGCGGUAAUACGGAGGAUCCGGACGUUAUCCGGAUUUAUUGGGUUUAAAGGGAGCGUAGGUGGAUUGUUAAGUCAGUUGUGAAAGUUUGCGGCUCAACCGUAAAAUUGCAGUUGAAACUGGCAGUCUUGAGUACAGUAGAGGUGGGCGGAAUUCGUGGUGUAGCGGUGAAAUGCUUAGAUAUCACGAAGAACUCCGAUUGCGAAGGCAGUUCACUGGACUGCAACUGACACUGAGGCUCGAAAGUGUGGGUAUCAAACAGGAUUAGAUACCCGAGUAGUC
rnacentral:rRNA from 1 species